AUUUAUGGAACCAUCCUCAGGAUAAGACGGAAAGGCGAUGAAAGAGGCAGAGGGAAUUCUGCAGAUGCUGGAAAUUCAAGCAACAUACAUCAAAGUUGCUGAUGAACGCAGCAGGCCAAGCAGCAUCUCUAGGAAGAGGUGCAGUCGACGUUUCAGGCCGAGACCCUUCGUCAGGACUAACUGAAGGAAGACAAAUAAAUGAAAACAGAUAUGAACAUCACUCAGAAGCAGAGAAACCUCAAUAGACAAGCCCUCAUGACCUUAGUAUCUGAUUUUUAAAUGUCUCCAAUUCAAAUGACCUGAAAGGUUGAAUCAGUUUUUGCUUCUGCGGAUGCUGCCUGACUAGCCUAUUCUUUUUUAUCUUAACUCAGAUUUCCAAUCUCAGCAGCUUUCUGCUUCUUGAUAUAUCAGCUGCUGAAAGAAAAGAGGUUUUUUAUGGUUGUUCAUAAAAUAUUAAACUGAUAUCAUUUUUCCUGAUAAUGCUGACAUCCAGCACUUUCUGGUUUUGUUCCAUUAUUCGAAUCUAGCCAUAGUAUAACAACACGUAGCAAUGACAAUGCGCUGUAACUACAAGCUUUGCCUCGAUGUCAGCCAAACAAAAAGUCUGGUCGUGGACUGAAGGGGAGUGACGUGCGCACUCAUCUUUAUAUCAAUGGUACUGAAAUUGAGAGGGUUGACAGCUUCAAGCUGCUAGAAGUGAAUAGCAUGAAUUGCCUGUCUUGGUCUAGCACAUAGACACUAUGGCCAAGAAAGCACACGAGCACUUCAAUGUGCUCAGGAGGCUAAACAAUUCCAGCAUUUCCUCAUUGGCACUAACCAAUUUUUAUAGAAUGCAUAAAAUGCAUCUUAUCCAGAUCUGUCCAAGACCACAGAUUCUGCAGAGUUGUUUACACAGCUCGGGGCAUCAAGUAAAUCGACCUCCCCUCUGGAUGAACUCCACUUCUUGCUGUCCCAGUAAAACAACCAACAUAAUCAAAGACCCCUCCCAUCCUAGACAUUCUGACUUCUUCCUCCUCCCAUCAGAAGAGGAUACAAAAGCCUGUAAGCACGUAGCACCAGGCUCCGGGAUAGUUUCUAUCCCACUGUUGUAAGCCUAUUGAAUGGACCUCUUGUCUGAUAAAGUUGAACACUUGACCUCACAAUCUACCUCAUCAUUGUUUUGCAUGUUAUUUCCAGCCUGCUUUGCAUUUUCUUUGUAAGGGCAGCUCUUUAUGAAUCUCAAGAUUGUUCUAGUAUAAAUAUUGAUAAUAAUUUUACUUUGACUUUGAACAUUUUACAUUCUGUAAUUUUUAUUGCUUUUACUACCUUGAUGCGCUGUCAUGAUGAAAUGAUCUAUAUGGAUGGCAGGUAAAAUGAAAUGCUCACUGUAUGUUGGUAUGUAUGACAAUAACAAACCAAUUUAACCAAUGUGUGAG